rnacentral:lncRNA from 1 species
AUGGAAAAGGGGGAGAAAAAAGGAACAGAAAAGAGGGGAAAAAGUGGAAAAGGAAAGAAAAGAAAAUGGGUAAAUCGAAAUGGGGGAAAAGGGGGAAAAUGGGAAAAAAUCAAGGAGAAAAUUGGAAAAGGAGGAAAAAAGAGUGGGGAAAUAAAAAAGGGAAAAAUGGAAAUGGGAGGAGAAAAGGAAAAUGGGAGAAAGAAAAUAGAAAAGGGGAAAAGAGGGAAAAAGAAGAGAAAGCAAAUGGGAAAAAAUGAAAAAGGAGGGAAAAACCCCAACCCAAGCAAGCCCAGAGGGGCUGGAAAGGGCAGAGCUUUGAUUUGGGUUCAAAACCCCCAGUUUGGGGUUCAAAAACCCCUUUUGGGGUUCAGAGCCCAGUCAGGGCUUGAAAUUGCCCCAGUUUGGGGUUCAGAGUCCCAGUUUGGGUUUGAAAUUGCUCCAGGUUGGGGUUCCAAGCCCCAGUUUGGGGUUCCAAGCCCCAGUUUGGGGUUCUGAACCCUGUUUUGGGGUUCAAAUCCCAGUUUGGGGUUUUCUUAGCCCAAGUUUGGGGUUCCAAACCUCAGUUUGGGAUUCCAAGCCCAGUUUGGGGCUCCAAAAUCCAUUUUGAGAUUCCAAGCCCCACUUUGGGGUUCUGAGCUCAAUUUAGGAUUCCAAACCCCAGUUUGGGAUUCCAAACCCCAUUUCUGGGGUUCCAAGCCCCAUUUUGGGGUUCCAAACCCCAUUUUGGGAUUCCAAACCCCAUUUUUGGGAUUCCAAGCCCGUUAAGGGUUCAAAGUCCCUUUUUGGGGUUCCAAGCCCCAUUCUGGGGUUCCAAGCCCAGUCUGGGUUGGUUCCGGCGCUGGGGGGGGUCGGGGUACCCCAAAAGGGGCUCUGGGACCCCCCGAGCGCGGUGGGGGGGGGGAUCCCCAAA